UUUUAACCCAAAGUCCAGAAUGGUAUUGUCGAUGCAAAAAUGCAUUGAACAAGUAGCACCAGCGUAGUUGAACGAAAUUCACUUUCUAGGCACUUUUUCCUUUGUCCCAAUACAGCCUAUGACCUCGAGCGAAGUUUCUUUCACGGAGUUUCAGAUGCCGUGGACGUGGAUGCAUCGGCGAUGCUGGCUGAAGGGUUUGACUGACCCGCGGCUGCAUCACGUUCUUGUUUCUCAAACGCCUUUUGCAAAUAAAUCGCUGGUAGCAUGUCAUGUGAAACCCAGCGUCAUCAGGAACAUUGUCAAAGUCGAUAUCAACGCAAUGUUUAUAAGUUUCUGCAAGGUCCUUUGUCUCGCCCUGUAGAGAAAGCCACUUUCUAAUACUAGUUCUGUAAGUUUCCCAACACGUCCUUGUAAAGUCGAGAACGUCUUCACUCUGGACAGAUGAUAGAUGCAUAUAGCAUAGUUUCAUUCCUUUUUUAUACACUUUUGAAGGCUGUUUUUUUUUUCUUUCCUUUUCUUUUCUUCUUCUUCGCUUGUCUCGCUGCUAGAUGAGCUCGUCGCCAUGUUUGUUUAUUUCUGAUACUAUGGCAACGAGACUGUGCUCCUAUUGGUCCACGUGACAAAAAUCGCUUCACCCCUCUGCAUAUUCGAUUGUGCGUGUGCAAGUAUCAAUACACCGCAGAAAGGAAAUAGUUUGACACCGAAACACUGAUUACUAAAAAUCGACUGGAUGGCAUGAGUAGAUUUUUUUUUUAGUACUUACUAUCAAUAGAGCUGUUUUAUGAAUCACAGUUUAUGUUGCCCCACUGAAGUGGAACGAACCAACACGAUCUCACUCAGCCAAUACAGCCUAUUAU